rnacentral:rRNA from 1 species
GGCAGCAGUGGGGAAUAUUGGACAAUGGGCGAAAGCCUGAUCCAGCCAUGCCGUGUGUGUGAAGAAGGUCUUCGGAUUGUAAAGCACUUUAAGUUGGGAGGAAGGGUUGUAGAUUAAUACUCUGCAAUUUUGACGUUACCGACAGAAUAAGCACCGGCUAACUUCGUGCCAGCAGCCGCG